CCUGGUUGAUUCCGCCAGUAUUCAUAUGCUUGUCACAAAGAUUAAGCCAUGCAUGUCUAAGUAUAAACAACUUUGUACUGUGAAACUGCGAAUGGCUCAUUAAAUCAGUUAUAGUUUAUUUGAUGAUUCUUGCUACAUGGAUAACUGUGGUAAUUCUAGAGCUAAUACAUGCAUUCCCGCCCCGACUUCUGGAAGGGGUGUAUUUAUUAAAUAAAAACCAAUGUAUUUGGUGAAUCAUAAUAACUUCUCGGAUCGCAUGGCCUCGAGCUGGCUAUACUUCAUUCAAAUAUCUGCCCUAUCAACUUUCGAUGGUAGGAUACAGGCCUACCAUGGUUGCAACGGGUAACAGGGAAUAAGGGUUCGAUUCCGGAGAGGGAGCCUGAGAAACCGCUACCACAUCCAAGGAAGGCAGCAAGUUCGCAAAUUACCCAAUCCCGACGCGGGGAGGUAGUGACAAUAUAUAACAAUAUACGGCUUUAACGUCGUAUAAUUGGAAUGAGUACCAUUUAAAACCCUUAACUAGGAACAAUUGGAGGGCAAGUCUGGUGCCAGCAUCCGCGCUAAUUCCAGCUCCAAUAGCGUAUAUUAAAGUUGCUGCACCUAAAAAGCUCGUAGUUGGAUUUUGGACCUGGACGCGCGGACCGCCUCACGGCGUGUAUUGUCUCUCUGGGUC
rnacentral:rRNA from 1 species